CGCAUCUGUGCAUGCAGCAUAUCAAUAAGCGGAGGAAAAGAAACUAACAAGGAUUCCCUCAGUAACGGCGAGUGAAGCGGGAAGAGCUCAAAUUUGAAAUCUUGAAAGGUGACCUUUCACGAAUUGUAGUUUAAAGAAGUGUUUUCUGUUACGAUCGUAAUAUAAGUUCUUUGGAAUAGGACAUCACAGAGGGUGAGAAUCCCGUCUAUGAUUGCGAUUUGUAGCUUUGUGAUACACUUUCAAAGAGUCGGGUUGUUUGGGAAUGCAGCCCAAAACGGGAGGUAAAUUUCUUCUAAGGCUAAAUAUUGGCGAGAGACCGAUAGCGAACAAGUACCGUGAGGGAAAGAUGAAAAGAACUUUGAAAAGAGAGUUAAAUAGUACGUGAAAUUGUCAAAAGGGAAGCGUUUUAACACCAGUGUUGUUUUCUGAAAGUCAACCUCUGUUAGCUUUAUGCAUGUUUGUUUAGACCUAAUCAGCUAUCUUGCAUGUUCUAUUGUUUGCAGUGGUGCACUUUUCAGUUUACAGGUCAACAUCAGUUUUUUUUACCGUAAAAAAGUUAAAGAAAGGUAGCUCAUGGCUCUGGUCGUGAGUGUUAUAGUCUUUUUCCUAUGCGGUAGGAGAGACUGAGGUCUGCAGUGUAGGCUAUUUGGCUAGAUACUCAGGUGCUAUGUGAUACCAUUUCAUAAACAACUUGUUGAUUAUGUUUUGUCUAUUGCAUACUCGCUUGUACUAUCAUACCUACGCUUAGGAUGUUGAAGUCAUCGUAUCGCGC
rnacentral:rRNA from 1 species